GAACGCACCUUGCGCCCAUUGGUAUUCCGAUGGGCAUGCCUGUUCGAGUGUCUUGAAUUCAUCGCCGCCUCCGGUUUUGCGACCGGCUGGUGGCGGACUUGGGGGUCUGCCGCGGCGACGCGGCUCCCUUUGAAAGCAUCGGUGGGGUCUCCGAGCACCCACGGGCGUUGUAUUGUCCUCGUCCGACCGGGCCUCGCGUCCCCCACCUCGACUGCCGUCUGAGCGGCGGUCAAGCACACUUUGAAAUCUGACCUCGAAUCAGGUAGGACUACCCGCUGAACUUAAG
rnacentral:misc_RNA from 1 species